rnacentral:rRNA from 1 species
UUAAAUUUGUAAGGGCGUAUGGUGGAUGCCUUGGCAUUAGAAGCUGAUGAAGGACGUGACUAACUACGAUAUGCUUCGGGGAGAUGUACGUAAUCUUUGAUCCGGAGAUUUCCGAAUGGGGGAACCCACUAGUGGUAAUGCACUAGUAUCACAUAAUGAAUAUAUAGUUAUGUAGAAAGCAACCCAGUGAACUGAAACAUCUUAGUAACUGGAGGAACAGAAAGAAAAAUCGAUUUCCUUAGUAGUGGCGAGCGAAACGGAAAGAGCCCAAACCGACUUUAGAGUCGGGGUUGUAGGACCUCUCUAUAAGAGUUACAAAUUCAUAACAUAGUUGAACUUUUCUGGAAAGUUAGACGAAACAAGGUGACAGUCCUGUAAACGAAAUGUUAUGAACUCUUUGAGGUAUCCUGAGUACAACGAGACACGAGAAAUCUUGUUGGAAUCUGCGGGGACCAUCCCGUAAGGCUAAAUACUCUCUAAUGACCGAUAGUGAACAAGUACCGUGAGGGAAAGGUGAAAAGAACCCCGGGAGGGGAGUGAAAUAGAAACUGAAACCGUAUGCUUACAAAAAGUUCGAGCACAUUAAUGUGUGAGAGCGUGCCUUUUGCAGAAUGAACCGGCGAGUUAUUGUAUUAUGCAAGGUUAAGUCGAACAGAUGGAGCCGAAGCGAAAGCGAGUCUGAAUAGGGCGCUUAAGUAUGAUGCAAUAGACCCGAAACCGAGUGAUCUAGCCAUGAGCAGGUUGAAGUUGGGGUAAGACCCAAUGGAGGACCGAACCGAUAUGCCCGGAAACGCGUACGGAUGACUUGUGGUUAGCGGAGAAAUUCCAAACGAACUCGGAGAUAGCUGGUUCUCCCCGAAAUAGGUUUAGGCCUAGCCUUGAUUGAAUCUGCCCGGAGGUAGAGCACUGAAUGUGCGAUGGCGUCGUCUAGAUGUACUGAGUACAAUCAAACUCCGAAUGCUGGGUAGUACUAAUCAGGAGUCACUGUAUGGGUGAUAACGUCCAUACGGGAGAGGAAAAGAAUCCGGAUCGCCAGCUAAGGUCCCAAAAUUUGUGUUAAGUGGGAAAGGAUGUAGAGUUGUCAAAACAGCUAGGAGGUUGGCUUAGAAGCAGCCACCCUUUAAAGAGUGCGUAAUAGCUCACUAGUCGAGUGACACUGCGCCGAAGAUGUACCGGGGCUAAACACAAUACCGAAGCUGCGGACUUGCAUGUAAGUGCAAGUGGUAGGGGAGCGUUCUAAGUGCUGAGAAGGUAGACCGUAAGGACUGCUGGAGCGCUUAGAAGUGAGAAUGCCGGUGUGAGUAACGAAAAUUGGGUGAGAAUCCCAUUCACCGUUUGACUAAGGGUUCCUGGGUAAAGUUCGUCUUCCCAGGGUAAGUCAGGACCUAAGAUGAGGCUGAAAAGCGUAGUCGAUGGACAACAGGUUGAUAUUCCUGUACCACCUAUAUGACUGAAGGAGUGACGGAGAAAGCUAGUGAGAGCCAGUUAAUGGAUUCUGGUCUAAGUGCGUAGGCUAGUAUGUUGGCAAAUCCGCAAUACUAUAACAGCUGAAACAUGAUGGGGAAGAGAGUCUUCGGACAAUCGAACUUUCAUGAUGCUAUGCUUCCAAGAAAAGCUUCUAGGGUUAAUCGUAUAGGUGCCUGUACCGACAACCGACACAGGUGGUCAAGGAGAGUAUCCUAAGGUGAGCGAGAGAACUAUGGUUAAGGAACUCGGCAAAAUGACCCCGUAACUUCGGGAGAAGGGGUGGUCUAGCGAUAGACCCGCAGUGAAUAGGCCCAGGCAACUGUUUACCAAAAACACAGGUCUCUGCUAACACGUAAGUGGAUGUAUAGGGGCUGACGCCUGCCCAGUGCUGGAAGGUUAAAGAGAUUAGUUAGUAUGACGUAAGUCGAUAAUACGAAGCUUUGAACUGAAGCCCCAGUGAACGGCGGCCGUAACUAUAACGGUCCUAAGGUAGCGAAAUUCCUUGUCAGGUAAG